CCUGAGGACCACUGUGUCUGCUCAUGCCGUUUUAAGGCCAAGAACAACCGGCCUGCCGAUUAGCGGAAGAUGGUGGCCACCUUUAUGUGCUACAACAGGGCCACAGCUGACUGCUUCUACGCCCUCAGCCUGAACGUGGCCCAGUCAAAGAGGAUGAGGGAGCAUUUCCGCUAGGCCCUCACCCCCUACCAGGAGUCAGGGACCUCGGGACUGGAGGAGGAGAGGGAGUUUAUGGCGAGGCUGCAAAAUACACCAGAGAAGGCCGAUCAGGAUGAG